rnacentral:rRNA from 1 species
GGAUUUUGGGCGUAAGGGCUCGCAGGCGGUUUCUUAAGUCUGAUGUGAAAGCCCCCGGCUCAACCGGGGAGGGUCAUUGGAAACUGGGGAACUUGAGUGCAGAAGAGGAGAGUGGAAUUCCACGUGUAGCGGUGAAAUGCGUAGAGAUGUGGAGGAACACCAGUGGCGAAGGCGACUCUCUGGUCUGUAACUGACGCUGAGGAGCGAAAGCGUGGGGAGCGAACAGGAUUAGAUACCCUGGUAGUCCACGCCGUAAACGAUGAGUGCUAAGUGUUAGGGGGUUUCCGCCCCUUAGUGCUGCAGCUAACGCAUUAAGCACUCCGCCUGGGGAGUACGGUCGCAAGACUGAAACUCAAAGGAAUUGACGGGGGCCCGCACAAGCGGUGGAGCAUGUGGUUUAAUUCGAAGCAACGCGAAGAACCUUACCAGGUCUUGACAUCCUCUGACAAUCCUAGAGAUAGGACGUCCCCUUCGGGGGCAGAGUGACAGGUGGUGCAUGGUUGUCGUCAGCUCGUGUCGUGAGAUGUUGGGUUAAGUCCCGCAACGAGCGCAACCCUUGAUCUUAGUUGCCAGCAUUCAGUUGGGCACUCUAAGGUGACUGCCGGUGACAAACCGGAGGAAGGUGGGGAUGACGUCAAAUCAUCAUGCCCCUUAUGACCUGGGCUACACACGUGCUACAAUGGACAGAACAAAGGGC